UACGUAGGGUGCAAGCGUUGUCCGGAAUUACUGGGCGUAAAGCGUGCGUAGGUGGUUUGUUAAGUCUGAUGUGAAAGCCCUGGGCUCAACCUGGGAAUUGCAUUGGAUACUGGCAGGCUAGAGUGCGGUAGAGGGUAGUGGAAUUCCCGGUGUAGCAGUGAAAUGCGUAGAUAUCGUAAGGAAGACCAGUGGCGAAGGCGAAUCUCUGGACAGUUACUGACACUGAGGCACGAAGGCCAGGGGGAGCAAACGGGG
rnacentral:rRNA from 1 species